AGAAAACGUUAAACAGAUACACCAAACGAAGUGAAAAAUACAAUGUGUAGCCUGGAUAGAAGCUUACAUACCGUGCUCCACUCGGCGCCAUAUUGAUAUCGAUUGACCCUCGGUGUUUCUGUGUGUAGUGCACGAGGCUGAGCGCAGCGCUGCAUCCCCUCCACCCGCAGGCGGUACAACAGUAGACCCUGUCUCCUGCAAGAUAAAUGGUACUUUGGGAAUUGCGUUUAAUUAGGAAUAACUGAGGAGAGAGAGGCUUGCUCAUCCACCGGUGGUCUAAUCACAACAUGUGUUCAAGCCAACUGACAAGGUUGCGCAGUCAUGUGCUUACCUAAAUAUCCCAGGGCAGGAUGGAUCCUAACUCCAUCCACUGUCCAUCUCUGACAGCCAGGAGAGAGGACAGCCAGGAGAGAGGACAGGCAGGAGAGGGGACAGGCAGGAGACAGGACAGGCAGGAGACAGGACAGCCAGGAGACAGGACAGCCAGACCUGCAUACAUAACAUAGAGGUUAGGUCCCUAUUGCUCCAUAUUCCCCAUAUAGUGCACUACUUUUGACCAGGGUCUCCAGGGAAUAGGGUGCCAUUUGGGAUGCAAACGGUGCUAUGCUAAUCAGGCCUCCCUCUCGGUGUGGUUGUGAUUUUUUCUUCUGGGGGAUUUGUUUACGGGCGGAUAAUUGAUGGUGCUUGAGGGACAGGCGUGAGUUGGACAUGAAUCACGGGGCGACGCGCCUCACGAUAAGGAGCUGAAAGUCGUCCG
rnacentral:lncRNA from 1 species